rnacentral:rRNA from 1 species
GAUGAACGCUGGCGGCGUGCCUAAUACAUGCAAGUCGAGCGGACGGACGAGAAGCUUGCUUCUCUGAUGUUAGCGGCACACGGGUGAGUCACACGUGUAUAACCUCCCUAUAAGACUGGUAUAACUUCGGGAAACCGGAGCUAAUCCCGGAUAAUAUUUUGAACCGCAUGGUUCAAAAGAGAAAGACGGUCUUGCUGUCUCGUAUAGAUGGAUCCGCGCUGCAUUAGCUAGUUGGUAAGGUAACGGCUUACCAAGGCAACGAUGCAUAGCCGACCUGAGAGGGUGAUCGGCCACACUGGAACGGAGACACGGUCCAGACUCCUACGGGAGGCAGCAGUAGGGAAUCGUCCGCAAUGGGCGAAAGCCUGACGGAGCAACGCCGCGUGAGUGAUGAAGGUCUUCGGAUCGUAAAACUCGGUUAUUAGGGAAGAACAUAUGUGUAAGUAACUGUGCACAUCUUGACGGUACCUAAUCAGAAAGCCACGGCUAACUACGUG